rnacentral:tRNA from 1 species
GAGGGUAGAGCUCAGUGGUAGAGUGUGUGCUUAGCAUGCACAAGGUCCUGGGUUCAAUCCCCAGUACCUCCA